GCCAUGUUAGCCGCUCUCUCUCUUUCUGUCUCCUCCACAGAUCUCGCGAGAGCGGCUGGCUGCUGCUGCUGCUGCUGGUGGCGGCUGCGGAGGGGGUUGGAUCGGCGGCGGCGGCGGCGGCAGCAGCAGGAGCAGUAGCGGCGGCGGGAGGCGGAGGAGGCGGCGGCGGCGGAGGAGGAGGCGGCGGCGGCCGGGGGGCGCAGGCGGGCUUCGGGAGGCCCGGCAGCAUCAUGGCGGACAGAGACAGCGGCAGCGAACAGGGUGGCGGCGGCGGGGCUCCGGGCCCGGGCGGCGGUGGUGGCGGCAGCGGGCCCGGCGGCGGUGUGGGCCUUCAGCACGAGACGCAGGAGCUGGCCUCCAAGCGGGUGGACAUCCAGAACAAGCGCUUCUACCUGGACGUGAAGCAGAACGCGAAGGGCCGCUUCCUGAAGAUCGCGGAGGUGGGCGCCGGGGGCAGCAAGAGCCGCCUGACGCUCUCCAUGUCGGUGGCCGUGGAGUUCCGCGACUACCUGGGCGACUUCAUCGAGCACUACGCGCAGCUGGGCCCCAGCCAGCCGCCGGAGCUGGCGCAGGCCGCGGACGAGCCGCGGAGGGCCCUCAAGAGCGAGUUCCUGGUGCGCGAGAACCGCAAGUACUACAUGGAUCUGAAGGAGAACCAGCGCGGGCGGUUCCUGCGCAUCCGGCAGACGGUCAACCGCGGGCCGGGCCUGGGCUCCACGCAGGGGCAGACCAUCGCGCUGCCGGCGCAGGGGCUCAUCGAGUUCCGCGACGCCCUAGCCAAGCUCAUCGACGACUACGGCGUGGAGGAGGAGCCGGCCGAGCUGCCCGAGGGCACCUCCUUGACGGUGGACAACAAGCGCUUCUUCUUCGACGUGGGCUCCAACAAGUACGGCGUCUUCAUGCGGGUGAGCGAGGUCAAGCCUACCUACCGCAACUCCAUCACCGUCCCCUACAAGGUGUGGGCCAAGUUCGGGCACACCUUCUGCAAGUACUCGGACGAGAUGAAGAAGAUCCAGGAGAAGCAGAGGGACAAGCGGGCGGCAGCCGCCGCCGCGGCCUCCUCGCCCUCCUCCGGGGGAGCAGAGCAGCCGCCCGAGGCCGAGGGGGGCAGCAGCAGCAGCAGCGUCGCCGCCGCCGCCGCCGGCCCGCCGGGAGCCUUGCUGCAGGCCGAGGAGCCGGAGGAGGAUUGAUCUCCAUCCCUCCUUGCCUCCUUUCUUCUCCUCCUCCUCCCCACUGCCUUCCUCCUCCUCCUCCCCACUUGGCUGCCUCCUCCCUGCCCUGCUGCACAGAGACACUCGUAAUAAUAAUAAUGACGACGACAACAAACAACAACAUCGCCACACAAGAGAGAGAGAUACGUUAUACUGUAAGCGAGCGAGAGAGAGAAAACCGACAUCCACACACUGAAAAUAAUACAUGCAGUUAAAUAUACCUGUUGUUCUAACUCCAAGGGGAGCACCACCGACCACCCACCCACCACCAAAACUGACAGCCGAGCAAGCAACUUCUUUCUCUCCACCCCAUCGCUGGAUUGUUCCUUCCACUCUUGCCCAUCGUAUAAAACAACGUUUACCAGUAAAUAUCGGUUUAUUCCUGAAACCAGAAGCCCUAGACAUAUCUUUGUUUAUAAGAUGAAUGGCAAAGAAUUCAAUUGGCAUCUCUGGAAACAGCAUUAGUUCCCGGAAGCACUUUCUUCACAGUACCAGCAUACAUAAACCUGGAAUUCCAAGAUUUCAUUAUUAUGUUGAGCGUUAAAGGGUAAUCACUUGGUCCUCUAAUAUAGGGUGCUGUUAAAUUUAUACCCAAGAGCCCCUCUUUCCAGCCCCAAGAGCCGCUCCUCCGCCCAACCUUGUAUGAAGGUACAUGUCAUUGUGAAGAGAGGCCAGUUCAGCCAUCUCUGGAAUUUCAGCUGAUGGGGAGAGUGCAGCCAUGAUCACAGUAUAUGCUAACUAUUCUCCAUAUAGUUGAGCACCUCGUACAUGAUUGCAUGGAAGGAUUUGGCAGUGCAAAGCCGUCUUUUUCCUUCUUUUUUUUUCUUUUCAGAAGAUGAGGACAAAACCUGUAGUGUAUUUUUUCACAUGUGAGUUUUCUGAAAAGACCAGGAAAAAAAAUCUCUCAAGAAAGGCUAGAAUUAUAUCUCUCAAGUCUCUGCAUUAUUAUUUUUUGCUAGUUAAUCUUUAUUAGAUGUACUCCGAUCUCUACAUUAUUAUUAUUAUUAUUAUUAUUAUUAUUAGGCUAGUUACUCUUUAUUAGAUGUACCAAUAUCCAUUGGUGGUCAUGUUUUUCUGUAACGUUUUACAAGCAUACGCUGUAAGAGUACACACUUAUUAGAAGAUUGGAAUGUUGAAUUAGGCAAAAAAUAUUUGCUUUUAUUUAUGUAAAUAGCUGCUAUCCUGUUUUUAUUAUUCCUGGCUACCAUCUCAUAACUGUUGUAUUUUGAUCUAAUGGGCAAUGUCGAGCAAUGUUCAGACAUUCUGUGGUUUAUGUAUUCGUGUAAUUGUAUGUAUGUAACUACUAACUCUAGAUUGUAACUAAGAAACAUGUUCGUUUCAUUUAUUCAGAAUAGUAUAUUUCCUGUCUAAGAAUAUUUUCAAUUAUAUGAGAAAAGGAAUUUAUUAUUUUUUUUAAAGAUUUGUCCUGCAAGGUCUGGUUUCUCUGCUUUUAAAAAAUACUGCCGGGGCCGCUAUCUAGUUUCACUUGAUAGACCAAAGUUACCAUUGACACUGUCUUGCAAAUGCUGAACAAAUUUAUAUCCUUUGCACUUUAAAUGAAUAUAAGAUAAGGAAAAUCAAAGUGUCAAUUGUAUAUACAUUCACUGUACAGUUGAAUGUAUAUCUUUAGUCAGUCUGACUCUGUUUAUAAAGGGGGUAUUUUCCUUUGUUGUUGGAAGAAGAGUACUUGAGCAAUGUAUUUGCUAGUCAAUAUAAAGUGUUUACAUGUAAUUACUUAAUAAAUUAUUUGAUUUAAGAUGCAUUAUAGUGAUUUUUAAGUGUCAACCAUUGGGGGAUAUCUUUUAAGUUCCUACUGUUUUGAAACUCUUUUAAAGCAGUCACUUUAAAUGCAUUCAGUUGCUCAGAACUGAGCUUUGAGGAAGACACAAAGCAUACACUUCUGCAAGAUUUAACAGGACUGCUGAGUGUACCAUUUUGUAACACCCACAACAUGCACACGUUGAAAAAGGAAAUCUUAUAAUAAUUCAGGAUUCUAAAUGCAGCAGUGCCUACAAAAGAUAUGCCAUGAUCUUAUUGAUGGCAAUGAAAACAUAGGUAUAUAAAGGAGAAUUCCUGGAUGCCAAGAUCCAAGUUUGGUGAGAGAACCCCAGCAGAGAUUUAAAAUCACAAAACAUGCAGCAAAGUAAAGCAUGGAAAUAUAGGCUGUUAGACUUUUAAAAUAUGCCCUUCAAAGCUGCUUCCAAAGUCCCCCUCUUUCCCUAGCAAAGAAAAAGACCCACCCACUUGGUAAAUUAAAAGUGGUUUAGUUACAAACUUUCCAAGGGUCAGAUUCAUGUGCUUUUCCAUACAGCAUUGAAAAAAAGUUGCACGGGCAGUAACACUUGACUUAGUUACAGUGGUGAAACUUCCUAAAUUAUUUGUAUAGGAAAUUAUUAGCAUAGGCUUGUAAAAGCUAUACAGUCUGAGCUGCAGCAACCAACUCGAAACAUUUUGUGCUUGUCUGUUAGACUGAGGUGAACAAAGGCCUUUGAUUACCUUCCUCCCAAGAUGAGGGGGAAUGACUUAGAUAAGCCUGACAGGACAGUGUACUCUAUGGCAUUAACCGUUUCAUGCAUCAAUUAGACUUAUGCAUAUUGGUUGUGUGAGGCUGGCCAUCCCACAAACUACUUCUCGGGCAAAUAUAACCAUUGCAUGGGCAAUUAAUGAAGCACCCACAGUCCUAAUUUGACUCGUAGGUUCUCAAAAUUGUCUCUUGGUAGUAGCUUGAUGAGAAUGUCAAUUUCUUUGCUUUGACAAUACGCCAAAUCAACAGGACCAUCUUGUGUCACCUCACACAUUGAGAUAUUUCACCCCAAUGUGCUUGGUUUGGCCCAGGAAACAGGAACAUUUCCAAACAAAGAUAAAUCCACCUGUUGAUUUGUAAUCCUUUUUGUCUCUGGCAUGGUCAACAUCUGUGUAACCUAGUAGUUUUGGAUAGUUGUCGGCUGGCAGUUUAAGUUCCCUUUAAGUAUCUAGCAACUCUCUUCACAGCAGUCCAGUCCUUCUCAGUGGGAAAGCUAACUUUCCUGCUUAGGGUUUUAAUUUUCCUGCUUAGGAUUCCCACUGCAUUUGCUAUGUCAGGUCAGGUUGUUGUGGUUCAGGAAAGGAUCUUUCGCAUAGCUGACCUGUACCAGUUGAUGUCUGGGAAGAGUUCAGACUUAUCUUUACUCUUUAGAAAGUCAGUCACCAUUGGCAUGGCUGCUUCCUUGGCUUCUUUCACUCCUGGACUGUCAAGCGAUUCAAUAACUUUUCUGCUUUUGACUUAGAGUGAAAAGAUUAAGGAUCUUAUCUUCUAUUUGAAUACCCAAGAAGAAAGUAUUUCCCAGUUCCUUUAUCUCUACUUCUUUGCUUAGGUAUUCCACAACUUCUGUGUAGCCUUGGUUAUUUUCAGUUGCAAUACUUAAAUCAUCCACAAAGGCCAAAACAAAAGAAAAUUGUUCAUUUUUGCCCUUGGUGUACAAGCACUUCCCUGCAUGACCAUGUAUGUAGCCCAGUUGUGUGAGCUUCCUGUGUGCUUUCUCAUUCCAUGCUCUAGCACAGGCAUCCCCAAACUGCGGCCCUCCAGAUGUUUUGGCCUACAACUCCCAUGAUCCCUAGCUAACAGGACCAGUGGUCGGGGAAGAUGGGAAUUGUAGUCCAAAACAUCUGGAGGGCCGAAGUUUGGGGAUGCCUGUUCUAGCAGCUUGUUUUAAUCCAUAAAGCCUCUUCUGAAGUUUGUCUACUAGAUACGCUUCCUUUGGUUUGAUAAAACCUUUGGCUUGUUUCAUUUACAGAACUGGCCAUGCAAAAAUGUGGUUUUAAUGUCUAUGCAUUUCACCUUUAUUUGUUCAGAAGCUACUAUGCUCAAAAGCAGUCUGAUGGUGGGGCGUCUCACUACAGGUGCAAACGUUUCACUGUAGUCUUUCUCAUACUUUUGCAAGUAACCUUUUGCCUCAGGUCUUGCUUUGUAGUCCUCAAUUUCCCCCUUCUGCUCCCUUCUCUACCUUAAACACCCACGUGCUUCCUAUUGCCUUCUCUAGUUCUGGUGCAGUGCAUCAAUUACUUCCUGUGCAGCAUUCCUCCACAGGUGAGCUUCAGCGGCUUGCAUCUGCUCAAUCUUUUCCCAGGUGAAAGUUUCUAUGGGUUGCACCAACCUUGUUAGGUAGGACAAUCGUGGGUUUGGAACAACUUCAUUGUGUCUCAAUGAGCACCUGGCAUCUGGCUCUGAGAUCUCAUCAAUCUCUUCAUCACCAUCUAAUGUAUGCAUCUCAUAAUCAGUCUCCUCCUCUCUGGUUGUGCUGCUUCUUGGAAUCUGCUCCUUCAUUUUUCUUUCUUUCAUUUUUUCAUAUAUAUUUUUCAUUUUUUUCCUGGGUUCAACUGCUCAUCUGGAGCUACUUUGUAUUAUCUUUUCUCAGUCUAUCUGACUGUGGAAUACAGCUCCAUGGGGUAUGACGGAUUUCUAAACUAUUUCAGUAAUCAGAAAUCUAAAUGCAAAGGGAAUUGCACAGCGACUGUUGGACAAUAGGAGGGUUUGGGUGUCUUGUGCUCUGUGGUUCUUGUGUUUCCUUCGGGGUACUUUAUACUAGAACUUAAUGUAAGAGGUAGGCUUGACAAAACAAUUUGUGGUUACAUCAGUUUUGUUUUACCUGACUGUAUAGGGCAGGGGUCCCCAGACUAAGGCCCGGGGGCCGGAUGUGGCCCAAUUGCCUUCUAAAUCCGGCCCGCGGACGGUCCAGGAAUCAGCAUGUUUUUACAUGAGUAGAAUGUGUCCUUUUAUUUAAAAUGCAUCUCUGGGUUAUUUGUGGGGCCUGCCUGGUGUUUUUACAUGAGUAGAAUGUGUCCUUUUAUUUAAAAUGCAUCUCUGGGUUAUUUGUGGGGCCUGCCUGGUGUUUUUACAUGAGUAGAAUGUGUCCUUAUAUUUAAAAUGCAUCUCUGGGUUAUUUGUGGGGCAUGGGAAUUCGUUCAUAUUUUUUUUCAAAAUAUAUUCCGCCCCCCCCCCACAAGGUCUGAGGGACAGUGGACCGGCCCCCUGCUGAAAAAGUUUGCUGACCCCUGGUAUAGGGGCUCUACUGAUGUAGCUGCUGAGCUGUUAGACAGCUUUGAUGGACCAGUCCAUCAUCUCAGAGGAUCAUCAUUAGUGGAGGGCAACUGUUCCCUGGCAGCCUGUUUCCUAACUGAUAGGCCCACUCCUAGCUUUUGUUUCUCGGUGAGAAACUGGUUUCCAGUUCUCAUGGUUUUUCAGAGAAGCUUAUCCUCUCUUUGCAUUUCUAGAAAAUGUGAAUGAAUUUUUUUUAUAAAAAAAAUGAGUGUAAAAUACAUUCCUUUUUUAAAAUGGCACUUCCCACUUUUUGUUUCUCAGUAACAUUUGCAAAAGAUGCUUUUAAGGUGCUCUUGAUGCCAUGCUGAUUCUACAGCUUAGUUCUAGGUUUAACUGAAAAUUAAUGGUGCAGCAACUCAGUCUUCAAAUAGUUAUAAGAAUGCUUGAUUCUUCCUUUGAGAUGAUUCAAAACUCUUAAGAUUUGGUUGCAUUGGAGUAUUUAGCAAUAAAAAGCCACCCCUUGCUUCAAGGAAAUCAACAUUUAGAUAUGGCCAGAAGCGGUAGCCAUAGAAUGGAUUGUUUAUUUAAAUAUUUAUAAAUCACACUUUUGUCAAAAUGCACCCUUCAAAAAUGACCCAAACAAUAAAACAUCAGUAAAAAGAUGCAUGAAUACUAGUUGGCAAAAGGAAAAUUCACAUUUCAAAGGCCUGUCUAAAUAACACCAUUUUCAGGAGAUGUCUUUUAAAAAAGCAGCAAUGACUUCUGCUGAAACUCUGCUGCCAGGAAGUUCCACCCUAAAGGGGAUCUCAGAGAUCAAGGUGGAACCAAAGGACUCAGGCCGUCCAUAAGGUACUUUGGGCCCAAGUUGUUUAGGGCUUUGUGAAUUAACACAAGGACCUCAAAACUGGUCUGGGAGCAGUUGUAUUUUGCUCCUGUGGGCAGUCUGACUGCUGCAUUCAGUUUCCAGACCUGAUACAAGUAUAGCCCCACUUAAAGCACAUUAGAGUAUUCAGGUCUUGAGGUUACCAAUGCAUGGACCACUGGGGUCAGGCUAUCUCAGUGCAGGAACAAUAGAAAUACGGCCAGUAUCAUCCCUACUAAUAUUCAGGUGACUGGUUAAAUUGGUUUUAUUUUGGGUUUUUGCACCAUGAAUGAUGUUCGGGUGCUUUCAGCCAGGUGUUUUAAACUUUGUCUAUUGCAUAUUCUCAUUUGUUAGUUCCACGCAGAUGUGAAGAAAAGCCAGGAAAUAGAUCCUCACAAACAGAACACCAACAUCUAGAAAUAUACUUUCUUACAACAAUCCAUUUAGUGUUAGUUAUUCUUGCUGAUGCAAGAUCCUAGAAGGAAAUGACAAUGGAGGCUAAAACAGUAUUAAAAAUAUAUAAUAAUAAUAAUAAUAAUAAUAAUAAUAAUAAUAAUAAUAAUAAUAAAUUAUUUAUACCCCGCCCAUCUGGCUGAGCUUCCCCAGCCACUCUGGGCGGCUUCCAACCGAAUAUUAAAAACAGUACAGCAUCAAACAUUAAAAACUUCCCUAACAGGGCUGCCUUCUAUUGUCUUCUAUAAGUAAAGUAGUUGCUUAUUGCCGUGACAUCUGCUGGGAGGGCGUUCCACAGGGCAGGUGCCACUACCGAGAAGGCCCUCUGUCUGGUUCCCUGUAACCUCACUUCUCGCAAUGAGGGAACUGCCAGAAGGCCCUCGGUGCUGGAUCUCAGUGUCCGGGCUGAAUGAUGGGGGUGGAGACGCUCCUUCAGGUAUACCGGACCGAGGCUAUUUAGGGCUUUAAAGGUCAGUACCAACACUUUGAAUUGUGCUCGGAAACGUACUGGGAGCCAGUGUAGAUCUCUCAGGACUGGUGUUAUGUGGUCCCGGCGGCCACUCCCAGUCACCAGUCUAGCUGCCGCAUUCUGGAUUAGUUGCAGUUUCCGGGUCACCUUCAAAGGUAGCCCCACGUAGAGCGCAUUGCAGUAGUCCAAGUGGGAGAUAACCAGAGCAUUCUUAAUAACACAGAGUCAUUUGUUUUCCUAGCAUCUAAAAAUUAAGAUAAAAAUAAAUGUGAACAGCUGCAUACAAUAAAUGUGAACAAACAUACAAAAGUGGAAGGAGCCCCACUUGGACGAAAGAGAGGCUGGGAUACCAUUCUAACAUAACAGAGAAAAUGGUGAAAUAGCAAAUAUAUUUAUCAGUAGUAUUCAUAAGUGCUAGUAGUUGGUAACACAUUUCUAAUUAGAUCCAGAUCUAAAGUGGCAGGUUCUGGUGACUAGGAGGCACCUUGAAGAGUCUCGCAAGCGGAAACAGACAAGUUCCUGGGAAACCUACAAUCGAAAAGAGUUGAUUGGGAAACAAGAGGGAGGUGAGAAAGAAGCAAGUGCUGGGGUGGAUGGACAUGUACAAAUUCAGUUCUACAUGCUUAGGUUUGGCUGCUGUUGACAUUAAUGCCAAAGGUUACCUAUCACUAGAUGGUAUACUUGUUAUGUUUAGCUCACACUAGCAAUGCAGGAGUACAGAUAUCACUCCAAUUUCACUUGUAGGCCGGGAGACUCUAAAAUACUGCAAAGGCGCCUAACCACCUGCCAGAAUCCCUUCUAGGAAGGCACAUCGCCUAGGGCAGUAGCCUUUAAUGGGGAACAGUUUUUGUCAAAGAUCUCAUUUACCUUUGACCUGCUUUGUUUAAUUGUGACCCAUUAGGCUAAUAGUCCAUCUCAUAGAGGGUAGCUAUAAAAGGUUAUGUAUACUACUAUGCUAGCUGCAAUGGCAUCUCAGUGCUGAUGUUGUCCUGAGGGCAGUAUGAAGGUCAGACACGCCACUGAGAGAGUAUUAGCAUGCAUUUGUUUCUGUUUAAUCUGCUGUGAAGCUGGUCUGACCCCAUGUCAAGCAGCUAGAGGAGCAGGACAGGGUGAAGAAAGUGUCGUGAGUGGAGGGGGACCUUUCUCCAUCCUCUGGACCCCCUGGGAAACUCAUCAAACCUGCUGCACCUGGAAUUGGGUGUGGAGAGGGCACCUGAAUGGGACACGGCUGUGGGCAGCCUGAGGAAGGACCAUCCCUCUUGGGCCUGCCCAUAAAAAGCAAGUCUAGAGGGAGAGACUAAGGCAGGCAUCCCCAAACUGCGGCCCUCCAGAUGUUUUGGCCUACAACUCCCAUGAUCCCUAGCUAACAGGACCAGUGGUCGGGGAAGAUGGGAACUGUAGUCCAAAACAUCUGGAGGGCCGAAGUUUGGGGGUGCCUGGACUAAGGUGAUGGGACCAGCUGGUUCCAGGAACUCUUCUUGUUGUGAGACUUUUGUGGGUGAGCUGAGAGUUUGUUGGGUGAGAACCAAAGGGCUAAGAGGGAGGGUGUGUCAGAAGGAAAAUGAAUUGAUAACUGAUUUUUAUAUAUGUUAGUAACUUUGUAUUAAUAUAACAUUUUUAUAUGUAACUGUGUAUUUUUGUAAUAUUUUUAAAAGUUGUCUGUUGUUGCUUCUUUUUUGUAUACUGCUUAGAGAUGCUUCUAAUAAGCAGUAUAGAAAUUAAUUACCGUAAUUAAUUAAUCCAUCAAUCAAUAAUGGCACAGAAGCACAUAACAGAACUGUUAAGUGUUCCCCUCUAUAGUUCUCAAUUCACUUUUCACUGAACCUCUAGGAGACCUCAUUAAAACCAUUUGCACAGUCUCCAAACGUUGGCUUCUUCUGAGAUCUUAGUUGGAUAUUUAGGGUUUCGAGAUCCAGAAUCCCCAAAUUUCGACAACUUAGGCAGCUGCUUGCUUAUAUUUGCAUUCCACCCAGGUACAAUUUCAUAAGAUGGCACAAUAUGUAUAGAGAAAAAUGUUACAGUUCAGGCUUUUGUUGUUGUUGUCCUUCUGCACCAUACAUGUUGGCUUCUUAGCUUUUCAAACGAGAUGAAGAGUUAACUUUAUGCAGAGUAGAACCUAUGUGCAGUGAUUGAUCCGAAUUGUUCUCUAUCCCAGAUCCAGUUGCUAUCUCCGUAGCUGUGUCUACAUAUAAUGCAAAGAUAAGUUCCCCAGAAGGAGAUCACAGUUGCUUUGCUUCUCCCUGGUCCUUACAAAUGAGUACAGCAGCUAAGCUAUUCAGAUGGUUAAGCAAAAGAGAACCCAAGCACAGUCAUGCGUUCAGAUGAAAGACUUAGCCAAGCUUCACUUUACCUGCUGCACUGCACUGAGCAAAGCAGCUGCAAUAUCUUCUCCAGGAUCUAGGACAUUUGCACAAUCCCAGUGCACCAUAAUUUGGCUUACUGUGACAUGUGAACCAGGCCCAUGUGAGAUGUCACAUUUCAACAAGGACCUUUGCAUACUAAGUCCAGGAUGUGAGUUAGAAACAGUGUGAUUUUGGAAGGAUACACAUAGCUGUCAAGUUUUCCCUUUUCCCGUGAGGAAGCCUAUUCAGCAUAAGGGAAUUUCCCUUUUAAAAAAAGGGAGAACUUGACAGCUAUGGGGAUACAAUGGCAUGAAUUGGGCCUCUGCACAUUGGACCCUAUGCAUAUAGACUCCUUUUCCAGUACUUGGGUAACAGGAGGACACCUCAUUUAGAUCCUAUACAUUUAAAGCCAGAGGUGAAUACAGUGUCAUGUGACUGAAAAAAGACCCCUCCACUUGUAGGUAUUUUUGUUUCUUGAAGCAGAUGACAAAGACUUGUUUGUGGGAACUGAAGGACACAAAAUCCGGGAACUGUUUUUGCUAUUAAUUGGCCAGAUAAGAUCACGUUGCUUGGUAAAGACUUUAUACUUCUUACAUCUUAAAGGUAAAGGGACCCCUGACCAUUAGGUCCAGUCGUGACCGACUCUGGGGUUGCGCGCUCAUCUCGCAUUAUUGGCCGAGGGAGCCGGCGUAUAGCUUCCAGGUCAUGUGGCCAGCAUGACAAAGCCGCUUCUGGCAAACCGGAGCAGCACAUGGAAACGCCGUUUACCUUCCCACUGUAGUGGUUCCUAUUUAUCUACUUGCAUUUUGACGUGCUUUCAAACUGCUAGGUUGGCAGAAGCUGGGACCAAGCAAUGGGAGCUCACCCCAUCACAGGGAUUCGAACCGCCGACCUUCUGAUCAGCAAGCCCUAGGCUCAGUAGUUUAACCACAGCGCCACCUGGGUCCCUAGUUACAUCUUAGGAUGCACAAAUGCACAUAUUGGCAAAUGCAGCAUGAUGGGAGUCCUAAGUUUCAGUGAGGCUUCUCUCAAUUUUGUAACCAUGCAUAGAUAUUGUAUUCAAUAAAUAGAAUAUUUAACAAAUUAGAAUAUCUAAUUUAUUAUAAGCAAGAUAAGAGCGCAUAAUCACUUUCACAUUUUAAAGUGGGGAGGGGUGUUGCCCCCCCCCGCCCUACACAAGUAGGAUAGCCAGUAAAAAUUGUUGGCGGGAGGGGGGCGUCCAGCAACUUUAAGGAUAAGAGUUAACAGUGGGAAGAGUGAAGCCCAGAUGGGCUGAUUUAAAGGGAGUGAUAAAGAGAAUGUUGCUGUUCUCUAGGUACCGGUAGAACCAACAGCCCAGUCCUUCCUGCCAGGGUGCUCAGAGAGGGUGAGCUACAGUAGGAGCAGAAGCAGUAGUUCUCAGAACAGCUGCUGCUAUGAGGAGGGUCUCCCCCUGCUAUUUACUACUCAUUGUAUGGUUGGCUUCUUUUCCUCAAAACAAAAAAAUUAUGCUUAAGUAAUCUGUAGUGUAGUUUGACCCCUAGUAUUUCCUUCCAACCAAACUACAUGGUAUGAAGAUGUUGCAGUUCAACAGAAAUGUCUCCCACGUAGCUCCCAUCCCUCUUUAUUCAAGAUGGCAGAGGAAGAAGGCUCAAAGAAUGGAAUGGAAUGUGAGUAACAGCUCUGAAUAAUGUCAAAGAAUAUAUUGUGCUCCUAAGUACUUUUUCAGUGUUCCAGUUCUAUUCUCCAUCACUGAGAAAGACAUAUACAGUGGUACCUCUACUUACAAAUAACUCUACUUACGAAUGUUUCUACUUACGAAUGGAGCUCCGUCCGCCAUCUUGGAUGCGGUUUAGAUAGGAUUUUUUCUACUUACGAAUUUUUAGAUAGGGUUGCUUCGACUCACGAAUUUUUUCUCCCAAUGCAUUCCUAUGGGAUUCGACUUACAAAUUUUUCCGACUUACAAAUGUGCAUUCAGAACACAUUAAAUUUGUAAGUAGAGGUACCACUGUAUACCAAAAAAAGUGUUAUUGAAAGCUCCAUGUAUAUGAGCACUACAAAUAUUCCAGUUGUGAUGACCGUUCCACAAUAAAAGCAAAUGUGGGAACUGUGAAAAUGUGGAUUCUUCGCAUUUAUCUUCACUGUGAAGAUGUAGGGCAGAUUCCCUUUCCUAAGCAUGAGUUUUUCAGCAAGGGAGUCUGAGGAACUGAGGUAUACAGUAGUGACAAGAGAUGAAGUUCUAGUCCUUACUGACAAACUGAAAAUUAAGAAAAUAUCAACCCAAACAUGAAAUUGAUGUUUUAACAGAACUAUGUAACUUCUCCCUAAGAUCAACCUCAGAGGGUUGGAAAGGAACAAAUGUUAACGCCAAUUUUAAAAAAGGUGUUCAGGGGAAAUUGAGGGAAUUACGCAUCUGUCCUGGGUAAAAUGAUGGAAAGAUAAGAUGACAUUAUGAAGCAUAUUAAAGAACAAGUCUUGCUGAAGAAGAAUCAAGAUGGCUUCCACCAGGGUAAGUCCUGCCUCACUAACCAUUUAGAGUUUUUUGAGAACAUCAAUAAGUAUGUGGAUUGGGGUGAUCUGGUGAUCUGAUUGACGAGAGACCCUGGCAGCAUUGGGGGCACAUGCAAAUGAUCGCCCACAAAAAGCUCGACAAGUCAUAGUGAUCGCUUGAAAGAAGCUCAACAACUUUUGGAGCGAUCUCCCCCAAAAAGCUGCUGAUCACCCGGAUUUUUACUUCUUGAAAUAUGGCAAUCUUAUUAUAAAGGAUCUUAAGUUUAGGUUGAUAAAGGGAUCUCUCCAAACUGGGUGAAUAGGUUAAAAUGGCAAAUGCAGUUGACUAUAAGUAAGUGCAAAGUGAUGGAGACUGGAACAAAACUCCUAACUUUUUCUAUACACGGAUGGGGUCUGAGCUCAUGGUGCCUGACCAGGAAAUGGAUCUUUGUGUCAUGGUAGAUAGCUUAAAGAAAGCAUAGACCUAAUUUGUGGCUGCUGUGGGGAAAAAGGCAAAUUCUUUAUUUGGGAUAAUUAGGAAAGGGAUUUGCAAUGAAGCUUGUCAGUAUCCUUAAAGGUUUUAUACAAAUCUAUGGUUCGAUUGCACUUGCAAUACUCUGUACAAUUGUGGUCACCCCAGUUCAAAAAGGAUGUUGUAGAGUUGGAAAAGGGCAGCCUAAAUGAUAAGGGAGCUUGAGCAUCUUCUCUGCAAAGAAAGGUUACAACUGUGAGGGCUUUUGAACUUAGAAAAAAGGCGACAAGACAGAGGUGUGUAAAAUUAUGCAUGGUGUAGAUCACUGGUUCCAAAUUAGAGGUCCACGGACACCUGGGGGUCCACAGUCCCAUCCCUUGCCUCAUCCCCAACUAAAAUUUGUCAGUUUUGCAUGGUAAUAUCACAAUUUUUAUGGGGUGUUUUAACACUGUGUGAUUUUUCAAUAUAUUGGCCAAAAUCAGAUUUAAAAUCACACCACAAUAACGAUUUUGACCUGGCAAUGCACAACAAUAUAUCACUCCUUGCGUGAGGGAGAACAGGACAGCUAAUUUCAAGGCACCGCUGAUAUCGCACGAUGAUCUCAGCCAAUAACACUGCUUAUCUGAGCUGCCUUCCUUCACACUGACGGAGAACAGGGCAGCUGAUAUCCCUCAUUCAAGGCACCGUGGCACUACCUUCCCCUGGCACCUCCCUCACCUGUAUGAUCUCUGUGAUUUC